UGAAGUGAUGAUGGCAAAGAGGUCACACCCGUUCCCAUACCGAACACGGAAGUUAAGCUCUUUAGCGCCGAUGGUAGUUGGGGGCUUCCCCCUGUGAG
rnacentral:rRNA from 1 species